rnacentral:rRNA from 1 species
GUGAGGAAUAUUGCGCAAUGGAGGCAACUCUGACGCAGCCAUGCCGCGUGCAGGAAGAAGGCGCUACGCGUUGUAAACUGCUUUUAACCGGGAAGAAACCCCAGGACGUGUCCUGGGUUGACGGUACCGGAGGAAUAAGCACCGGCUAACUUCGUGCCAGCAGCCGCGGUAAUACGAAGGGUGCAAGCGUUAUCCGGAUUCAUUGGGUUUAAAGGGUGCGUAGGCGGAGCGUUAAGUCAGUGGUGAAAUCCUGCAGCUUAACUGUAGACUUGCCAUUGAUACUGGCGCUCUUGAGUGCGCUUGAAGUGGGCGGAAUGUGUCGUGUAGCGGUGAAAUGCUUAGAUAUGGCACAGAACACCAAUUGCGAAGGCAGCUCACUAAGGCGAUACUGACGCUGAGGCACGAAAGCGUGGGGAUCGAACAGGAUUAGAUACCCCGGUAGUCC